rnacentral:rRNA from 1 species
UACGGAGGGAGCUAGCGUUGUUCGGAAAUACUGGGCGUAAAGCGCACGUAGGCGGCGCAGCAAGUCAGGGGUGAAAUCCCGGGGCUCAACCUCGGAACUGCCCUUGAAACUGCAGUGCUAGAAUCUUGGAGGGGCGAGUGGAAUUCCGAGUGUAGAGGUGGAAUGCGUAGAGAUCCGGAAGAACACCGGUGGCGAAGGCGGCCUGCUGGGCAGUUGCUGACACUGAGGCGCGACAGCGUGGGGAGCAAACAGG